AGUCUCUAGUUGAAGAAGGAAUCCCUUGCUGAUUUGCGAUCAACCUGCCCCAGCAACUCGGCUACCGUUUGGCGACCAGCCGCACGCAUCCCGUAUCUUACAUGAAUUGUGUGGGGAAGUCUGCCGAAACACCUUCGAAGGACUCGGCAAAUAUCUGGAUUUUGGCAACAUUUGAGGGAAGAGGCACCGAUUUUGUUUCAAAAUGGUGGACGAAGGUGACGGAUCGUGUGUGUCUGGUGGAGUAGGAAUGUCUGGAUUGGACUGUCAAAGCUUUUAGCAGAAGGAAAAAUGAGAUGUAACGAGAGAAAAGGAAAUAAAGUGGAGUCAUGAAGUUUGCCUUGUGUUGAGCUAAACGCUGGACCUUCUACCAAAAACAAAAGAUUUAUGGAAGUCUAUUUUUAAGGAAGAGUCUAAUUUUUUUCACAAGAGAGAAUUUAUUCAGAUCUAUAUAUAUAUAUGGAUACACCACAACCAACUUACCUCAAGAAAAACCUCAUCAAUAAAUUCUAACAAUCUGGUCCUGUUGGAACCAGUAUAACACUGCCAGAGAUUCUGCAGGGCCAAAUAUCAAGAAGGAGGAAUUUCAUGAUUUUGUUAGAAUUUUUGUGCGAACACUGGUUAUUUCUCAUUCUUGAUUGACUAUUUUCAUUCCUCUGUGAUAGGAAUUUGUCUAUGAGGAGAAUUACUGUCUACAGUACUCAGAACGAACAAGUAGAACUACGAUUUUAGAUGGUUUUAUGCUACUUCUUGGAGCAGAGAGAGAAUUUGUUUAGAUUUUGUAUUUUGUAAAAAAGUGAGCGGGGCAGUGUGCCUAAUGCAGAAUAUUGAUAAAAGCGACAGAAGUGCUUGUUGGAUUGGGGCCGUUGCCUUGGCGACGCCAACAGAGGGACCACUGUGCUUUUUCGGCCUGUCUCUGUGGCUAGAGAAUUCGCAAGGAUAUGCAGCUAAGGCUGGAACUACCCGUUGUUAAUCGGUACGCGGCCCAACCAAUAAUUCGCAUGAUGACCAGAGAGGUCCCCACAGAGUGUCGACGAACGCGCCUCAUGAAGCCCGAGAUUCUCGCCAAGUUGUUGAGCAGCUCCCCCAACGGCCAAGAGAAGCCGUUGUUGGUGGACAGCCGUUCGUUUUUGGAAUACAACGUGGAACAUAUUCAGUGUGCGGUCAAUAUCAGCGGCUCCAAGUUGGUCAAGAGACGCCUUCAAACUAAUAAGGUGAGUGUU